GUGCUCACUUUGGCAGCACAUGUACUAAAAUUGGAGCUGUAGGUAAGAUUAGCAUGGCUCCUGUGCAAGGACAAUGCACAAAUCUGUGAAGCAUUCCAUAUUUAA